CCUACGGGUGGCAGCAGUGGGGAAUAUUGCGCAAUGGGGGCAACCCUGACGCAGCAACGCCGCGUGAUUGAAGAAGGCCUUCGGGUUGUAAAGAUCUUUAAUCGGGGACGAAUUUUGACGGUACCCGAAGACUAAGCUCCGGCUAACUACGUGCCAGCAGCCGCGGUAAUACGUAGGGAGCAAGCGUUAUCCGGAUGUACUGGGUGUACAGGGCGUGUAGGCGGGCAUGCAAGCCAGAAUUGAAAUCUGGGGGCUUAAGCCCCAAACUGCUUUUGGAACUGCGUGUCUUGAGUGAGGGCGAGGCAGGCGGAACUCCCCGUGUCGCGGUGAAAUGCGUAGAUAUUGGGAGGA
rnacentral:rRNA from 1 species